rnacentral:rRNA from 1 species
AACGAACGCUGGCGGCGUGGAUUAGGCAUGCAAGUCGAGCGAGUAAUGGACUGUAUUUUUAGACCGCAAGGUCUAAAAAUAUGGACCAUAGACGAGCGGCAAACGGGUGAGGAACACGUGGAUAAUUUACCUUCAAAAUGGGGAUAACCCCGCGAAAGCGGGGCUAAUACCGAAUAAGACUACAUCUUCGCAUGAAGAAGUAGUUAAAGGCGGGGAUCCCAAGCUAAUUUCGUAAGAAAUUAAUUUGGGACCUGUCGUUUGAAGAGAAAUCCGCGUCCUAUCAGCUAGUUGGUGAGGUAAUGGCUCACCAAGGCACUUGACGGGUAGCUGGUCUGAGAGGAUGGUCAGCCACACUGGGACUGAGGCACUGCCCAGACUUCUACGGGAGGCUGCAGUCGAGAAUCUUUUGCAAUGGGCGAAAGCCUGACAAUGCGACGCCGCGUGAGCGAUGAAGGUCUUCGGAUUGUAAAGCUCUGUUGUAGGGGAUGAAAGAUAAUCUGGUGAAUAAUCAGAUUGUUUGACAGUACCCUAAGAGGAAGCCACGGCUAACUCCGUGCCAGCAGCCGCGGUAAUACGGAGGUGGCGAGCGUUGUUCGGAUUGAUUGGGUGUAAAGGGCAUGUAGGCGUUUUGGUAAGUCGAAUGUGAAAUCCCGUAGCUCAACUACGGAAUUGCAUUCGAAACUGCCAGGAUUGAGUACGGAAGAGGAGAAUGGAAUUCCCGGUGUAAGAGUGAAAUCUGUAGAUAUCGGGAGGAACACCAGUAGCGAAGGCGGUUCUCUGGUCCGAUACUGACGCUGAAAUGCGAAAGCUAGGGGAGCAAACAGGAUUAGAUACCCUGGUAGUCCUAGCCGUAAACGAUGGGCACUAGGUGUAGGCUUGCGAGAGUCUGCGCCGCAGUUAACACGUUAAGUGCCCCACCUGGGGAGUACGUCGGCAACGAUGAAACUCAAAGGAAUUGACGGGGGCCCGCACAAGCGGUGGAGCAUGUGGUUUAAUAGGAUGCUACGCCUGGAACCUUACCAGGACUUGACAUGUAAGUGGUAGUGAACCGAAAGGGGAACGACCUCGCAGGAGGAGCUUACACAGGUGUUGCAUGGCUGUCGUCAGCUCGUGUCGUGAGAUGUUGGGUUAAGUCCCGUAACGAGCGCAACCCUUAUUUUUAGUUGCUACCUCGUAAGAGGGCACUCUAGAAAGACUGCCAGUGAUAAACUGGAGGAAGGUGGGGAUGACGUCAAGUCAGUACGGCCCUUAUGUCCUGGGCUACACACGUGCUACAAUGGGGUGUACAAUGAGAAGCGAGACCGCGAGGUGGAGCAAAUCUUUAAAGCACCCCCCAGUUCGGAUUGAAGGCUGCAAUUCGCCUUCAUGAAGUUGGAAUCGCUAGUAACGGCGUAUCAGCAACGACGCCGUGAAUACGUUCCCGGGCCUUGUACACACCGCCCGUCAAGCCAACUGAGUCGGUUGCACCCGAAGUCGUUUAUCCAACCCGCAAGGGAGGAAGGCGCCGAAGGUGUGGUCGGUAAGGGGGGCU